UAUCUUUCUAUUUUCCCACAG
rnacentral:miRNA from 1 species